CGCUGAUGCCUGACUGUAGUGUGACAUGAUUGAGUAUCCUGACUCGUCUGUCUGCCUGCAGUACUAGUGAAUGUCCUGAUGCUGACACCCUACGGCACCUGUUGAUAUCACAACACAUCACUGAAAUGCACCCUGGAAGUUAAUUGAGGGUAACAGCUAGGGGUUAUGGAAAACUUUUGGAAGGGGCAUCGAAGUCUUGGAUUUCGUACGCAGAUCAGUUCAUUGACUAGAUGUUCCAAACCAACCAUCAUUCAGUGCUGCAAUCACAAAGAUCCGCCAUCUUGAAGAAUCAAUUUUCUUGAUGAAGAUGUGUGGGCAAAAAUCAGAAGCGAGGCCGAAGUGGUUCCCGUCUGCUGUGGUCUUAGCCGGGGCAUCCCUCGACAAUCCUAGACAGCACAGACCAGAUGCUACAACGCUCAAAGAUUAGAUUUUCAGAAAAAAAGUGUAGAGAUUAUCUUCGGAUGGUAAACAUAGUUUCAGGCUUUUUGUCGUGUUUAGAACAGUUUUAGGCUUUUGGAGCAGGGAAUAUGAGUAGAUUUUUUUAGUUGAACAUGUACAACUUUUUUUUACACAACAAACCCAUAUUUUAGAACUACUUUACAGGGUGUGUUUUUGUCUAGAAAGAAAUCAAGCAUAUUUUAAGUUACUUUUUCUUAAUGUCAUAUCUGAAUAAAUAAAAAUUACAAAGCAUAAGACAAAUUGUUCACUCAAGUGGAGACAUUUGAAAAUGUCCAUCAUACGUACUGUUCAUGAUUGCAAAAAGUAAUCGCUAAUUAAGAAGUGAAAUAGGACUCCAAAAUUCUUGAGAAUCCUGGAGGAAUUAACUGAUUUUGUACCAUUUAUUGCUUUUUAUUUUUUCCCAAAUUUUCAAGAUUUUAUGCAUAAUUUUCAUUGGAUUGUAGGAACUUCUUAUUCAAAAUAAGCAGGUACAUGUACUUGUAAUGCCCAUCAUGUUCCUAGAAAGUAUCUAGCAAGAUAGACUUGGAGGCUUGCUACCAAUGCUGAAAAAAGUAAAAAAAAAAA